GACGAACGCUGGCGGCGUGCUUAACACAUGCAAGUCGAACGGAAAGGCCCUGCUUUUGUGGGGUGCUCGAGUGGCGAACGGGUGAGUAACACGUGAGUAACCUGCCCUUGACUUUGGGAUAACUUCAGGAAACUGGGGCUAAUACCGGAUAGGAGCUCCUGCUGCAUGGUGGGGGUUGGAAAGUUUCGGCGGUUGGGGAUGGACUCGCGGCUUAUCAGCUUGUUGGUGGGGUAGUGGCUUACCAAGGCUUUGACGGGUAGCCGGCCUGAGAGGGUGACCGGCCCCAUGGGGCUGGGGUACCGCCCCGGCCCCUACCGGGGGCAACCGGGGGGGAUUUUUCACCAUGGGCCGGAGCCUGGUGCCACCACGCCGCGGUGGGGAUGACGGCCUUCGGGUUGUAAACCGCUUUCGCCUGUGACGAAGCGUGAGUGACGGUAAUGGGUAAAGAAGCACCGGCUAACUACGUG
rnacentral:rRNA from 1 species